rnacentral:rRNA from 1 species
AUUGAACGCUGGCGGCAGGCUUAACACAUGCAAGUCGAGCGGAGAGAGGUAGCUUGCUACUGAUCUUAGCGGCGGACGGGUGAGUAAUGCUUAGGAAUCUGCCUAUUAGUGGGGGACAACAUUUCGAAAGGAAUGCUAAUCCGGAUUAGUCCUUAGGGAGAAAGCAGGGGAACCUCGGAACCUGCGCUAAUAGGAGAGGCUAAGUCGGAUUAGCUAUUUGGUGGGGUAAAGGGCUACCAAGGCGACGAUCUGUAGCGGGUCUGAGAGGAUGAUCCGCCACACUGGGACUGAGACACGGCCCAGACUCCUACGGGAGGCAGCAGUGGGGAAUAUUGGACAAUGGGCGGAAGCCUGAUCCAGCCAUGCCGCGUGUGUGAAGAAGGCCUUAUGGUUGUAAAGCACUUUAAGCGAGGAGGAGGCUACUUUAGUUAAUACCUAGAGAUAGUGGACGUUACUCGCAGAAUAAGCACCGGCUAACUCUGUGCCAGCAGCCGCCGCGGUAA